rnacentral:tRNA from 1 species
GCAGUGGUGGUUUAAUGGUAGAAUUCUCACCUUCCAUGCAGGAGACCUGAGUUCCAUUCCCAACCAAUGCA